rnacentral:rRNA from 1 species
GACGAACGCUGGCGGCGUGCCUAACACAUGCAAGUCGAACGGGACCGGGGGCAACUCCGGUUCAGUGGCGGACGGGUGCGUAACACGUGAGGAACAUGACUUUCGGUGGGGGAUAGCAGGCCCAACGGCCGGGUAAUACCGCGUACGACCUUUCGGGGACAUCCCCGGUUGGUGAAAGCAGCAAUGCGCCGAAAGAGUGCCUCGCGGCCUAUCAGCUAGUUGGUGGGGUAAUGGCCCACCAAGGCGACGACGGGUAGCUGGUCUGAGAGGAUGGCCAGCCACAUUGGGACUGAGACACGGCCCAGACUCCUACGGGAGGCAGCAGUGGGGAAUAUUGCGCAAUGGGCGAAAGCCUGACGCAGCGACGCCGCGUGUGGGAUGACGGCCUUCGGGUUGUAAACCACUGUCGGGAGGGACGAAUGCCCCGCAAGGGGAGUGACGGUACCUCCAAAGGAAGCACCGGCUAACUCCGUGCCAGCAGCCGCGGUAACAC